rnacentral:rRNA from 1 species
AGAGUUUGAUCCUGGCUCAGAGCGAACGCUGGCGGCAGGCCUAACACAUGCAAGUCGAACGGAUCCUUCGGGAUUAGUGGCGGACGGGUGAGUAACACGUGGGAACGUGCCCUUUGGUUCGGAACAACUCAGGGAAACUUGAGCUAAUACCGGAUGUGCCCUUCGGGGGAAAGAUUUAUCGCCAUUGGAGCGGCCCGCGUCUGAUUAGCUAGUUGGUGGGGUAAAGGCCCACCAAGGCGACGAUCAGUAGCUGGUCUGAGAGGAUGAUCAGCCACAUUGGGACUGAGACACGGCCCAAACUCCUACGGGAGGCAGCAGUGGGGAAUCUUGCGCAAUGGGCGAAAGCCUGACGCAGCCAUGCCGCGUGAAUGAUGAAGGUCUUAGGAUUGUAAAAUUCUUUCACCGGGGACGAUAAUGACGGUACCCGGAGAAGAAGCCCCGGCUAACUUCGUGCCAGCAGCCGCGGUAAUACGAAGGGGGCUAGCGUUGCUCGGAAUUACUGGGCGUAAAGGGAGCGUAGGCGGACUGUUUAGUCAGAGGUGAAAGCCCAGGGCUCAACCUUGGAAUUGCCUUUGAUACUGGCAGUCUUGAGUACGGAAGAGGUAUGUGGAACUCCGAGUGUAGAGGUGAAAUUCGUAGAUAUUCGGAAGAACACCAGUGGCGAAGGCGACAUACUGGUCCGUUACUGACGCUGAGGCUCGAAAGCGUGGGGAGCAAACAGGAUUAGAUACCCUGGUAGUCCAA